AAAAUACUCCCUCCGUUCCAAAUUACUCGUCGCAAAAAUGGAUGUAUCUAGAACUAAAAUACAUCUAGAUACAUCUAUUUCUGCGACGAGUAAUUCGGAACGGAGGGAGUAGUAA
rnacentral:pre_miRNA from 1 species